rnacentral:rRNA from 1 species
GACGAACGCUGGCGGCGUGCUUAACACAUGCAAGUCGAACGGUAAGGCCCUUCGGGGUACACGAGUGGCGAACGGGUGAGUAACACGUGGGUGAUCUGCCCUGCACUUCGGGAUAAGCCUGGGAAACUGGGUCUAAUACCGGAUAGGACUCCGGACUGCAUGGUCUGGGGUGGAAAGCUUUUGCGGUGUGGGAUGGGCUCGCGGCCUAUCAGCUUGUUGGUGAGGUAAUGGCUCACCAAGGCGACGACGGGUAGCCGGCCUGAGAGGGUGACCGGCCACACUGGGACUGAGACACGGCCCAGACUCCUACGGGAGGCAGUAGUGGGGAAUAUUGCACAAUGGGCGCAAGCCUGAUGCAGCAACGCCGCGUGAGGGAUGAAGGCCUUCGGGUUGUAAACCUCUUUUAGCAGGGAAGAAGCGAAAGUGACGGUACCUGCAGAAAAAGCACCGGCUAACUACGUGCCAGCCGCCGCCGUAA